GACGAACGCUGGCGGUGUGCUUAACACAUGCAAGUCGAACGGAAAGACCCUGCGUUUGUGGGGUUCUCGAUUGGCGAACGGGUGAGUAACACGUGUGUAACCUGCCCUUGACUUUGGGAUAACUUCAGGAAACGGGGGCUAAUACCGGAUAGGAUCUCCUGCUCCAUGGUGGGGGUUGGAUAGUUUCGGCGGUUGGGGAUGGACUGGCGGCUUAUCGGCUUGUUGGUGGGGUAGUGGCUUACCAAGGCUUUGACGGAUAGCCGGCCUGAGAGCGUGAACGGCGACAAUGCGACUGAGGGACGCAGCAGACUGGUACGUGAGGCAGUAGUCGGGAGUCUGGCACAAUGGGCGGACGUCUGUGGCAGAGACGCUGGGUGCGGAAUGCCGGCUUUCGGGGUAUAAACAGCUUUCGCCUGUGACGAAGCGUGAGUGACGGUACUGGAUAAAGAAGCACCGGCUAACUACGUG
rnacentral:rRNA from 1 species